UACGGAGGGUGCAAACGUUGCUCGGAAUCAUUGGGCGUAAAGCGCACGUAGGCGGUUCGUUAAGUUGGAUGUGAAAGCCCUCGGCUUAACCGAGGAAGUGCAUCCAAAACUGGCGAGCUUGAGUAUGGAAGAGGGUCUCGGAAUUCCCGGUGUAGAGGUGAAAUUCGUAGAGAUCGGGAGGAACACCAGUGGCGAAGGCGGCAUUCUGGACCACAACUGACACUGAGAGACGAAAGCCAGGGGAGCAAACGGG
rnacentral:rRNA from 1 species